UACGGAAUGUGGCCCCGGUAAAACGGCAUACUGUACAGUAGAAAAAGGACCUGGCUGAUCAGCAUCUACGGCUCGUACCCCUUGGAGAACUCUUGUACCAACUACCGUGACCUACAUUAGCAAUAAUCUUCGUCGAUUACAUUCACGUAGACGCUGGCGGGUCCAUCGAUGCCCUCUUUGUCGAGAGGUCUGACCAGAGUCAAGUUUUUGGAAAAAGCUGAAAAUGCUACAGGGCUGUCGUGUUCCUGGAGCCUGAGCUCGAUGUCACCUUGUGGUCCAGGAUCACCCAACACACCCAGGACACCCACGGUGUCACCGACCGGCAAAUCUUCGCUGACAAAGAGAUGCGCGGCGGUGGCACCGUUUUCCAGAAAGCAUCGCGCGUCACGAAUUACUAUAUUCAAAUAUAAUGCAAUUUCAAUGGAAGAAUUAAUUUGAUCAUAUCAAAGACUGAAGAUGAAAGGAUAAAGGGUGGACGGCGUGUUAAAAGCGGAAGUGGUGGUCGACUUCAAAGUCUGUGGGGACGUUGUUCUGUUUCUUCAGCUUCUUUGAAUAACGACCGAUCGUGUUCCGUUGAUACCGAAACAGAUAUUGCGUUCUCAGGAAUCAUGCGGUUUUUGGUUUUCCGGCGUUUUUCACAAAGCGGUUGACCGCUCUUCCUGUCUGCAUACUCCUUAAGUUUUCGAAUAUUUUUAUAUUGUGCUGAUAAUUAUUUCUUUUAUAGCUACGUUCAUUAAUUUGGGUUUAAUCGAGUGAAAACUAAGAGAAACAAUAAGCUAAUUAAGGCAAGAAAAUAACUAUAGCAAAAAGAUCUGAAUUUUAAUGGGAAAACGUAGGGAAAAGGUGCGUUCAAUAGGCAAUAAAAAUGGCUUAUACGCUGUGCGGUCAUAAAUUAAGGGGUUAGGAUACUUUCUCUGUACGAAAAACGAGACGAUUUUUAAGUGGCGAUAAACGAAAAAGUAAACCAUCGAUUAUCUUGAAACUUUGUACUAUAAUUAGGUGUAAUAUUGGGUGAAAAAUGCUGUGGACAAUGUUUAAAAAAUGUUUAUUUUUAAGGUGGCAAAUUGCCAAGUUUCCAAGCUUGUUUUUUCUUCGAUGGCCAUCUGGUGUGCAAGAAUGCAACAAAAUGACUGUUACCAGCAACAAAAACCGAAAUAUUUUAUUAACUAUAAUAAAAUUGCUAGGGAUUAACAAUGAGACAUUUCAAUUUUUGUAAAAAUGAACAAUAUGGCAGAUGUUUGAAGUUUGAAGAUCAAAUUUCGACGAAAAAUGAGUUGUUAUUGCUUAUAUUUUGCAGAAUUGUUAGAAAAUUAAAAGAAAAACGAAUCGUCAAUCCCUAGUAAAUGUAAUAGCAAAAGUAACUGUAAAGUUUCAAAGCAAUUGAUUCAUUAGAACUAGAGCAAUCCUGCACACCGUUUUAAAAAACAUAGUUGUGAAAAACAUAGAGAAAAACGCGUUCAAAGUAAGCUCCAGCGCGUAGAACGCAGGUACACGCCACCGCUUUGGGCUCUGAAUGUCCAGCAAAAAAAAUUGUUUCGAAACUGGGCCUUUUGCAUAAUGUUCUUAGGCUUCAAACUAUUAUUUAAGGCAAAAAAAAAAAUCGAUUUUUUCGAAAUUACAAAGUAUCUUAACCCUUUAAGAGUCUUGAAUCGUGACAUGCGUUCGUAACAGAAUCAAAGCAGACGGUGUUAAGCGAUCGUUGACUCUAAUCUGUUGUGCAUCGAAGCUUCUGUUAUCCGUUAUUUUGCACAAUUUAACUGUACCAUGUGUGAUCUUUCAGGUACGCCAGAGACAAUAUUUGUAAUAUUUAUUCAUAUAUAAAAAUUAGGUUUAAAGUCAUCGAAAUUGAUAUAUUAACGAGACAUUUCGUUCUUUAUUAUAAUCAUCGCUUCUAUCAUCGAUACAGUAGAAACCUACAUUUUGUUGACCGGCGGAGCGCAAGUGGUCAUCUACAUUCGCGAUGGGGCAUGCAGAUAAAGAAUUCAGUUCCCACACAUGGAGACAUUUGUGUCUAAGUAUUAAAUGUGCACACGUAGACGUCAUUUAACAGGAACGCGUGGACGAGGGUUAGACGUGCGCGCUCCCUUGGAGCGCAGUUCCGUCUGCUGCCAGCUCACGGUGUAUCGACGAUGCAACGUUCCGGCUUUGCCUUUCGUAACCUUUUUUCCCCCCCGUAGUUUGAAGACUUUUCCAGAAGAAAAUUACACUAUAAAUUCCCUUCGAUGCAGAGAACUUAUGCAUUUGCGUGAUUCGAGUAAUACCUAUCUUGCAAAAUUGUUAAUAACUGGUCAGAGGUAGUAGGUUAGAUGAUAAAGCGGAACAAGUUAUUUGUCUCAACAAUUCAUCAGCAGUUUCCUUCGCUCAAUUGAACAGCCGGCAAAACAAGGAUUAGCAAGGCUGGUUCACACGAUCAAGGAGAGCGAAAAAAGUAAAUGCCCGUUUAUCUUAACAACAGACGCACUUCCUGCGUGUCGAGAUAACGACUAAUUGUUAUGCAAAUCAGAAACACCGAUUCCUAUAGUGAAACGAAUCGUCCUUUUUACGAGCACCAAAAUGAUAUCACAGAUUCAUGUAACAGCUACUAAUGCAUCCAAUUGUGCGUGUGGUUACGUGACUAGGUAAGGACUUGUUAUUCUAUAAGUGCAUCGUGAUCUUGCAAAGACUUAACCCUUUCGCUGCCACGGUGGUCCCAUGGGACCGGCGCUUGUCUUUUCAUU